AGCGAACGCUGGCGGCAGGCUUAACACAUGCAAGUCGAGCGGGCGUAGCAAUACGUCAGCGGCAGACGGGUGAGUAACGCGUGGGAACGUACCUUUUGGUUCGGAACAACCCAGGGAAACUUGGGCUAAUACCGGAUAAGCCCUUACGGGGAAAGAUUAUCGCCGAAGAUCGGCCCGCGUCUGAUUAGCUAGUUGGUGAGGUAACGGCUCACCAAGGCGACGAUCAGUAGCUGGUCUGAGAGGAUGAUCAGCCACAUUGGGACUGAGACACGGCCC
rnacentral:rRNA from 1 species